GAGUUUGAUCCUGGCUCAGGAUGAACGCUAGCUACAGGCUUAACACAUGCAAGUCGAGGGGCAGCAUGGUCUUAGCUUGCUAAGGCUGAUGGCGACCGGCGCACGGGUGAGUAACACGUAUCCAACCUGCCGUCUACUCUUGGCCAGCCUUCUGAAAGGAAGAUUAAUCCAGGAUGGGAUCAUGAGUUCACAUGUCCGCAUGAUUAAAGGUAUUUUCCGGUAGACGAUGGGGAUGCGUUCCAUUAGAUAGUAGGCGGGGUAACGGCCCACCUAGUCAACGAUGGAUAGGGGUUCUGAGAGGAAGGUCCCCCACAUUGGAACUGAGACACGGUCCAAACUCCUACGGGAGGCAGCAGUGAGGAAUAUUGGUCAAUGGGCGAUGGCCUGAACCAGCCAAGUAGCGUGAAGGAUGACUGCCCUAUGGGUUGUAAACUUCUUUUAUAAAGGAAUAAAGUCGGGUAUGCAUACCCGUUUGCAUGUACUUUAUGAAUAAGGAUCGGCUAACUCCGUGCCAGCCGCCGCGGUAAUUC
rnacentral:rRNA from 1 species